GUCCGCGGCAGGGUCAUCUCAACUGUGUUGUUGUCGCUCCUGUGUGUAUGUGGCGAAAAAACAAAGUGAUCAGUGGCAACAACUGGCAGUGGCAGCGAACGUCUGAGGCAAUGGGAAUUACCUGUUGUUUCAGGAUACAUCCACCAAAUCGUGAGAAACUGGAGGAAUAGGUUCAACAGCGGCAGCGGCAAUAUCAUCAUGAUAUAGGGGAGUAGGACAGAUGGAUCUUCCCAAAUUCAGGCGAGUGUGUAACGCGACCGUGGGUGAA